rnacentral:misc_RNA from 1 species
AAGCAUGAGACCUGGUCUGGGCACGUCAUCAGCAAC